AACAACUUCAAGCGGAAGCAGCUCCACAAAAAGGACAAAGAAUCAAGUUCUACUCAACUAUACAAGUUCCAUGACGCUAAUGGUCGGUAGUAUUUUCACUUACCUUGUGUGUUUGAAGUGUGUUAGAGAUGCUGCUUGUUAAGUGCUACUGUUAAAAUGUAUUGUGGGAAAAGGCAGUAUUGCAUUGCAGCAACAUUUGCUUUAAGCUUAAGUACUUAUUUGUUGGUAGAACUUUAUUUGAAAAGGCCCUAAUUUAUCUUGCUUAUUUGCUUAAAAAGAAGGUCCAAGUUAAAAGUUUAAAAUUGACUUACCUUGGAAUUUACUUACCUUUUACAAUUUAAAAGUUUAGUUUAAUCUAAAGACAAUUUAAAAUGCUUAAACAUAUCAUUUAAAGUUUAAACUCAAUGUACAAAAGUUACGAAAAUAAUUGAAUGUUUAACUUGAUAAGCUGCCUUAAAACCCUUAGUUUAAAAAUAUUAAUUGGUUAAAACAUUGGUUAACUAACUAAAAAUGUUUUAAUAUGUUUAAAUUAAUGGCAACAUUUAAAAAUUUAAUUAUUGAAUUAUUAAAAGUGAUUUAUUCUUUGAUAUGGCAUGUUGCUAAUUGUUGUUUCUGUCUUGAAGGUUUACAACCUGAUGAAAAAGAACAACCAAUCAACAUCAAAGAGCCAAAUGAAAAGUGGAAAAUAAAGAAGUUGAUUGAGUUGGAAAUCGAGUUGUCAUGGGUCAUUUGGAACUUAAAACUGUGGGGACUUGACAACUAGCGGCUUUUUAAAGAGACAGAGAACACUCCUCAGCAUGGUUAGCAACAUUCUGUCCUGCUGUUGAAUAAGGAAUAAUUCAUACUGUUCACCACAUGAGAUACAAUUAAAGUUGAGUAAUUCAUGUAUGUGGAGCAUGGUUUAUUUAGCUGUAAUUUAAGUAAAUCAAUUAGUUUCUCAUCUGUUUGUUUUCCUGACACAGCAUGAGCUUGAAGGCUGUGUGCUGGAGACUUUCUUCAUCGCAGGAAAUCAAUGAAUCUGGCAAAUCAAGCAAGACUAAAAUCUUCAGGGUUAUCACUUUAAAAGGUCCCAUGUGUAGACAUGGGAAUCAUGGCACAUCUGGCAAUCUGAAACUCCUUUGCUCACCUCUCCUACCUGUGGGUGAAGCUAUGGUGGCCUUUGAUCAUCACUAUGAUGGCCUUCAUCACAAUCCUGUGAUGCAUAAUAACGUCAUUAUUAAAAAUGUCAUUGUGAGCACAACAACCACUAAUUUUUUCUUCCUCUUCUUUCUUGUACUUGUGAAUAACAUGUUCCAUUUAUACCAAGUCUCUUCUGAUAAAUGCAACAAUUUAUUGGGGAAAAAAAGAUAUUGCUUUUUCUUUGUCUUUCUGCAAUUUGCAAUAUGAAAAAAAUCUGGAAUUUUAUUGACAGGUGAAAUGCCAUAUUUAUGUGCUAAAAAAAACAAACAAACAACAAACAUCUCAAUCAAAGGUUAAGAUGUUAUACUUAAGGUUAUAUGUUUUGUCAUUUGGGUCUUUAAGCCUGUUUUCUGCUUUCAAAUCAAAUCCCCUCAUACUUGAACUACACUGAGUUCAAUGUCUCUGUCUAUGUAGCAUUACUUGAGAUUGUAAUGAAGGUGGCCAGUGGAAUAACCUGUGGAGUAUCAGCUGCCCUAUCAGUUGUGACAAACUUAUUAAACUUUGCA
rnacentral:lncRNA from 1 species